GUGGGGAAUCUUCCGCAAUGGGCGAAAGCCUGACGGAGCAACGCCGCGUGAGUGAAGACGGCCUUCGGGUUGUAAAGCUCUGUUAUAUGGGACGAACGUAUCUAUGGUCAAUACCCAUAGAUAGUGACGGUACCGUAAGAGAAAGCCACGGCUAACUACGUGCCAGCAGCCGCGGUAAUACGUAGGUGGCAAGCGUUGUCCGGAAUUAUUGGGCGUAAAGGGCGCGCAGGCGGCCUGUCAAGUCUGUCUUAAAAGUGCGGGGCUCAACCCCGUGAUGGGACGGAAACUGGCAGGCUGGAGUGUCGGAGAGGAAAGCAGAAUUCCUAGUGUAGCGGUGAAAUGCGUAGAUAUUAGGAGGAAUACCAGUGGCGAAAGCGGCUUUCUGGACGACAACUGACGCUGAGGCGCGAAAGCCAGGGGAGCAAACGGGAUUAGAAACCCUUGUAGUCC
rnacentral:rRNA from 1 species